UUUUAUGGAGAGUUUGAUCCUGGCUCAGAGUGAACGCUGGCGGCGUGCCUAAUACAUGCAAGUCGAACGAUGAAACUUCUAGCUUGCUAGAAGUGGAUUAGUGGCGCACGGGUGAGUAAGGUAUAGUUAAUCUGCCCUACACAAGAGGACAACAGUUGGAAACGACUGCUAAUACUCUAUACUCCUGCUUAACACAAGUUGAGUAGGGAAAGUUUUUCGGUGUAGGAUGAGACUAUAUAGUAUCAGCUAGUUGGUAAGGUAAUGGCUUACCAAGGCUAUGACGCUUAACUGGUCUGAGAGGAUGAUCAGUCACACUGGAACUGAGACACGGUCCAGACUCCUACGGGAGGCAGCAGUAGGGAAUAUUGCGCAAUGGGGGAAACCCUGACGCAGCAACGCCGCG
rnacentral:rRNA from 1 species